rnacentral:rRNA from 3 species
CUUGACCUCGGAUCAGGUAGGGAUACCCGCUGAACUUAAGCAUAUCAAUAAGCGGAGGAAAAGAAACCAACAGGGAUUG